ensembl:rRNA 5S_rRNA 5S ribosomal RNA
GUCUACGGCCAUACCACCCUGAACGCACCCGAUCUCGUCUGAUCUCGGAAGCUAAGCAGGGUCGGGCCUGGUUAGUACUUGGAAGGAAGAAGGCUUAAUUAAAUCCUCAUAAACCUCCUGGGUGGAUUGUAUUUU